AGUUCAGAGGCAGAACACUUGCCCAAUACGCAUGAGGUCUGGGUUUAAUUCCCAG
rnacentral:tRNA from 1 species